rnacentral:tRNA from 1 species
CGCGGGGUGGAGCAGUUGGCAGCUCGUCGGGCUCAUAACCCGGAGGUCGCAGGUUCGAGUCCUGCUCCCGCAACCA